UUGAACUCACCGUAUAGUUUGUUUCCAUGUAUAAAUUUCUCCGACUUUCUAGGACGUGUUUUAUGCCUCUUUUUCUGUCUCAUUUUGUCCACCACACUUUUAACGUUGGGCAUGAGUGCACAAAGGGAGUUGCAGUCUCAUCACAGUUUGCCAGGGGAUUAACAGACUCAGAAAAGCAAACCAGGGAAAUGGCGAGAAGGCUCUAAAGCAAAGGCCGUGGGCUGAGCCAGGACAGGUGGUUCACUUUCAAACGCACUUCUGACUCAAUCAAACAAUCAAUCAAUCAAAGUUUAUUUAUAUAGCCCUAAAUCACGAGUGUCUCAAAGGGGUGCACAAGCCACAACGACAUCCUCCGCUCAGAUCCAACAUCAGGGCAAGGAAAAACUCAACCCAAUGGGCUACAAUGAGAAA